CCCGAGCGCGGCCGGGCCGAGCAGCGCCGCCACCGUCGGGCGCGCGGCUCUGCAGCGCCGCGAACGGCUCGGCGCCCGCAGCCCGAGGAGCCCGGGCGCCCCGCAUUGUCCCCGGUCCCCGGGACGAGCCGCGGGUUGAUGGCAGUGUUCCAGAUGCUCACUCUGACAGAAGCCUGACUUUCACGUGGUCGGACCACUGUUGA
ensembl:lincRNA